AACGAACGCUGGCGGCAUGCCUAACACAUGCAAGUCGAACGGGAUCCUGGCUUCGGUCAGGUGAGAGUGGCGGACGGGUGAGUAACGCGUGGGAACCUGCCCAGUGGUGGGGGAUAACUGCGGGAAACUGCAGCUAAUACCGCAUGAGCCCGAGAGGGGGAAAGAUUUAUCGCCAUUGGAGGGGCCCGCGUUCGAUUAGGUAGUUGGUGAGGUAACGGCUCACCAAGCCGACGAUCGAUAGCUGGCCUGAGAGGAUGAUCAGCCACACUGGGACUGAGAUACGGCCCAGACUCCUACGGGAGGCAGCAGUGGGGAAUAUUGGACAAUGGGGGCAACCCUGAUCCAGCAAUGCCGCGUGAGUGAUGAAGGCCUCGGUUGUAAG
rnacentral:rRNA from 1 species